UCGACAUAUGAUCACUUCACAUUAUUUUUUUGGCCUAAGAAAUCAUGAUAUUAAACUUAAAUAUCGAUAAAUGUUUAUACUUUAGAAUGCGUCUAAAUACAACAAAAAGAAAUAUACUUUGGACAUGAUAAAAUCAUAUAGAGAAAAUGGUCAAAUACUCACUCAACCUUUAUCCCAAAUCUCAACUACACACUUAUACUUUGAGAGGGUCCUAUGACCCCCCUGAACUAUUUUAAAAUAAAAUUAUUACCUCCUGAACUAUUUUAAAGUGGAAUAUAUACCCCCUCUAAAAACUCAUACCCAGAUUUUAUUUUGAUUUGUAGUUUACACGCGUUGUCAUGUGUCAUCCCACAUAAUUUCACGUCAUAUAUUAUUUUUUUACUAUAAAAAAUUAAUUCCACAUCAUCAUUAUUAUCUUCUUCUUCUUCUUCUUCUUCUUCUUCUUCUUCUUCUUCUUCUUCUUCUUCUUCUUCUUCUUCUUCCUCUUCUUCUUCUUCUAUUCUUCUUCUUCAAUGGCAUAAUGAAUCAUAUGGAAUUCACACGAUAUGUAAUCUUUUCAAAAUUAAAUCAACAAUUAAUGUCCAAAAAGUAUUCGAUUUUCACAAAAUGACGUCGCGAUAGUGAUGGCGCCGAAAAAUUCAAAAUUUUGGUGACUUUAUUUUUCAAUCUGAAUUGAUUCAACAUUCUCACGUAAUUCGAGUUCUUGGAUGCCACUGAAGAAGAAGAAGAAAAAAAAGGUCAUUGAUGAGUUCUUAGAUGCCAUUGAAGAAGAAAAAAAAAUUAAUUGUCAUUGAUGGGUUCUUGGAUACCAUUGAAGAAGAAGAAGAAGAAGAAGAAGAAGAAGAAGAAGAAGAAGAAGAAUUGAAGANNNNNNNNNNNNNNNNNNNNNNNNNNNNNNNNNNNNNNNNNNNNNNNNNNNNNNNNNNNNNNNNNNNNGAAGAAGAAGAAGAAGAAGAAAAAAAAAUUAAUUGUCAUUGAUGGGUUCUUAGAUGCCAUUGAAGAAGAAGAAGAAGAAGAAGAAAAAUUAAUUGCCAUUGAUGGGUUCUUGGAUGCCAUUGAAGAAGAAGAAGAAGAAGAAAAAAAAAAUUGUCAUUCUUGGAUGCCAUUCAAGAAGAAGAAGAAUUGGAGAAGAAGAAGAAGAAGAAGAAAGAAAAAUAAUAAUUAAAAUUAUAUAUAUUUAUUUAAAGAAUAUUAAAAAUAAAUUUUUAAUAAAAUAUUUUCGUUCUCACUCUCUUUAAAGAGAGUGAAACACACUCUUUUGCCAUGUCAGCAUUGUAGGGGUAAUAAUUUCAUUGUAAAAUAGUUCAGGGGGGUCAUAGGACCUUCUCAAAAUAUAAGUGUGUAGUUGGGAUUUGAAGUAAAGGUUGGAGAUAUUUGCCAAUCAUAUAUAUAGUUUUUAGAUUCUAUCUAAACUAAAAUAAGAAUUGACAUUCACAUUUUUCCAAACUUAUACGAAACAUAAACAUAAAGUACAAGAGUAGAUCAUGAUAAUAUCAUAUAUAAAGUUUUUAGAUUCCAUCAAAACUAAAAUAAGAACGUACAUUCAUCUUUCCAAACUUAUAUGAAAUAUAAACGUAAAGUAUGAGAAUAGAACAUGAAUUUGUGUAAUGAAACAAAUAAAAUAAUAGCAAGAAUGCCUUCACCAAAACCGAAACAGAAACCAAAGUUGAAACUCCAACCCACCAACUUUUAAAAAUAUUUAUUUUUUUUCCUUCUUUUUGCUCUUUGUUUUUUUUUUUUUAAAUUGUUUGAAGUCUCUUUUCUCUUGUCCAUGUUUUUAUUUUUGAUGUUGUUCCAUGUUGUCCUUUUUUUUUUUGGUUUUUGUCCGUGUCCUCCUUUUCC
rnacentral:lncRNA from 1 species